AAGGCAGUUGCCUAGUUCAGAUAAGCAUAAGAUGAUGUUACUAAUAUGUCAAUAAAGAUGGAACUGGAAGGUUAAAAUACAUAUUAUUUAUUGACAUAUUAGUAACAUCAUCUUAUACUUUUCUGAACUAGGCAACUGCCUA